rnacentral:lncRNA from 1 species
CUCAAACUGUUGGUGUAAUGGAGGAUUCCGGGGCAGGAAGUGACAGGGAGGAAGUCCAGGGGUUAAUCAGUGUCUAGAGGGCCAGCUACAGACCACCGAAGAGACACAGGAAGGUUGGACUCCAAACUCUUGUCCCCAAGGGCCGUGUCCCUGAGCAGGACGACAAGAAAGUUACAGUGAGUAGUGGAAGCGGCUGGCGCACGCUGGGUCUGCUACUGGUUAUCUGGUCAUCGUUGUGAGAAGCACUGGAGUCCAACCGCAACGGGUACACCACUGUGACGUGAUGUGACAUGGAUUACCCAGAAUACCUAAGCCACAGCCACACUUCCUCUGGCCCUGGUAUCACCUUGAAUGGAGCCCUGAUAAUAUUCCACUAAGUCUUUUUUUUUUUUUUCUCUUGGAAUUUUUGGCCAGAAGACGCCUCUUCCUCCCUGCAAAGCGUCCAGAUAUGUUCUCUAUGGUAAUUACCUCCACGGGCAGCUGGAUCCGACUUGGAUUUUGUGGAGUAUACGGUGAGGUUCUGCGGGGGAAGCAUCGAAUCUUCCAAGUAAACAAACACCUGGAAGGCACUGCUCAAAGCAAGAAGUCGGUGCUGCAAAAGUAACUGAGCAUGUUGGCUUUUCCCACACAGCAGUUUUACUGUUGUGGCCCUUCAAACAAGAAAGACACGGGAAGCCUCACGAGGGGAUGCUUAAAGCGGGCAUACUUUACCGAAGGGCUUUAAAUAACUGGUGAUGUGGACAGAGAUGACAAAGAGCAAGAGGCCAGGGAACCCAAAUGUCUGCUUCCUACUUACAGUUUUGGUGUCUUUUGCAAAAUAAAUAAAUAAAUAAAUGGCAG